CUCUAAGUUCCCAAGAGAAGGGUUGGCUUUAGAAGAACUCUGAGUAUAGAUGAUCAUUUUAUAGAAAGCUCUAAAAUCAUAAAGAGAAUGAGACACGAGAGCAGUGACAGCUGGUAAAGUAUUACGUUUGUGGGGCUCCAGAUUCUACUAUGGAAUUUUACUUGACUCCUCUUUUUGGAACACCCAUCUCUUAAUCUACUGGACUCAUAGGAAAU